AGAGCAGGUCGGGCGGUCGCUGCUGGAGCCUUCGAGGCUUCGGAUCUCAGAUUUCAGAUCUCAGGAUUUGAGAUCUCAGAUUUCGAAGGUUCGGAGUUCAGGAGAGGAAAGUCCGAACACUACAGGGCAGCGAGCCCGCUAACGGCGGGGCGUUCGAUAGUCUCAGUUUUGAUAUCUGAAAGCUGAAAUUGGGAAUUGAGAUAUCAAAUCCGAGACUAUCGGACGACGACAAGUGCAACAGAAAAUAGACCAGCCUACCGGGCUUUGAGAAUGCGAAUUCUCAAAUCAGAUUCAGCCUUAGCUGACAUCUGAACCGCGGUGAUGGGUGAAAUGGUGCGGCCCGCAGGGCUUAAAGUAAGAGCGCACCGGCGUGUGUGGCGACACAUACGGCCAGGCAAACUCCUCGCAGUGCAAGAUCAAAUAGGGAGGCGUCAGCAGGGCUGCCCGCCCGAAGCGGUCUUGAGAUUUCAAAUUUGAAGUCUCUAAAGGCCGCUACGACCUCCGGGUAGAUCGCUUGAUCCAAUCUGGCAACAGUUGGACUAGAUGAAUGAUCGUCACUCCGAUUUCAGAUUUAAGGUCUCAAAUUUCAGACUAGAGACCUUAAAUUUCACGUUUGAGAUCUUAACUCUGAAAUCGGAGUACAGAAUUCGGCUUAUAGACCUGUUCUACUU
rnacentral:RNase_P_RNA from 1 species